GUCUUCUUCAUUUCUUUGAUACAAUAUUUUGCCAAGGACUCAUGCUAGCUCAAAGUCAGGGUUCUGCAGGCCUUCUAGGGAGCUAUGGCCUCGAGAAGCAAGCCAUUCUUCAACAGCAGCAGAGGUGGCAAUGAGAUUCCUCAAGCGUGGUUUUCCCUUCCUGUUAUUCCAGAGCUUUGGAGAUGACAUUCGAGAGGUUGGGCCUGCAGUUCCCUGGCCCCUUCUUGCUGCCUUUUUGGAAGACUGCACUGAUGUUGGCUUUCCUGCACUGCUCACGCCUGCCUCACAUGGCAUCACUUUGCCUGACCAGCUGGCAGAGCGUCCAGUGCCGGGGCCAGGAGCAGAGAUUUCCCUUGGCCCCAAAAGGGAAGGCUGGGCUCAGGCCGUGUGUCAGUGCGACCUGGCAACGGGAGGAGAAGAAUCAGCGCAGGAACAUCCAGAGGAGACGGCGGUGUUCCUCAACGCGACAACGGGAGCAGAAGGCGGACAGGAGCAGGGCUCACGCAGGGCUGACCAGGGAGUAGCACUCUGUAACGGGGUGACUUUACUUUUAAGAUAGCUUUGGGAGCUAAGAAGUUGAAGCUGCUGGUGGCUGAUGGGAGUCUUUUCUCCUGACCAAUUAUUGGUCAUUUCUAAGAACUGACAGCAGUUUUGACCAUUGAAAAGUGAGAUCAACCUGUGAACACCACCUUAAGAUGUAAAGCCAGGGUUCUCUUGCUCUCUUUGGUUUCCUGAUUCUGAAGAGGUAACAGGCUCUGUCUCGGCCUCCUCCCCCUCCCCCGUCCAGGCCGGACAAGGCUGCAGAGGGCGGGGGGAAGAGAAACGGAGCCGGCCGGCCUGACUGGGUUUGCAGUUUCUGCUGCUGAACUGAAACCUGACACCAUGAACAUCUGCAGCUUUCCAAGACUUUAACUCUUUUACUACUUGGAUAAAAUGUAAAGAUUACUCCUUUUUCCCAGAGAGAGAGAGAGAGAGAGAGAGAGAGAGAGAGAGAGAGAAUCAACAUGAAGAAGACAGUGAAGAAAAGAGUUAAGUUUUAGAUGAGGAAGAGAGAAUAAGGAGAUGCUUUAUAAGCUGAAAUAUUUUUCUGUUAAAGCUAUGGAGAUAGAAAAUAGUGUUCUGAAAAAAAACAUCCUUUAAUUCAUGACAGAGUAUAUUGGGAGGAAUGGAGUGUUCAAAGUGUGGAUUUUGAGCAAAAGGUGGAGUAAUUGUGAUACAGUGAAGUGCUGGAACAGAGUGAAGAGAAGAUUUGAGGCCUUGAGGGCAAUGAGAAAACUGUUUUCCAGAGAAGCUCACAGAGGCAAAUGAAGAGAACUUUUGCCUUUGAAUAACUCAUCCUUAAAAAUGACAUCCCUAGACUCAUGACCCAUACACACCUCAGAGGGAUGAGAAAUGGGAGGAGAGAACUGAUGACAAGAUUUCUGGGCAGCUGGCAUCAGAGAAAUAGAAAACUGUAACAGAAAUAGUUUUUUCGUGAAAAACUCCAUAAGUUACCAGAAGACUUCUGUUUCUCUACAAAGGCUGAUGAAAAGACCCUAGCAGGAAUUGGGACUGUUUUAAACACCAAAGUUCCAAUGUUUUUUGUCUCUCUGUUGUCAUGUGAACAAGGAAAUGGUUGGAUAGUGGGGGAUAAAAGGAGUUUCCUGGAAGUUUAUUCUAGUGUUCUUGUAGUUUUGUUAAUAAACUUUCUUUAUUCUUUUUAAGUUUUAAGCCU
ensembl:lncRNA